CAGCAGCCGCGGUAAUACGGAGGGUGCAAGCGUUAAUCGGAAUUACUGGGCGUAAAGCGCACGCAGGCGGUUUGUUAAGUCAGAUGUGAAAUCCCCGAGCUUAACUUGGGAACUGCAUUUGAAACUGGCAAGCUAGAGUCUUGUAGAGGGGGGUAGAAUUCCAGGUGUAGCGGUGAAAUGCGUAGAGAUCUGGAGGAAUACCGGUGGCGAAGGCGGCCCCCUGGACAAAGGCUGACGCUCAGGUGCGAAAGCGUGGGGAGCAAACAGGAUUAGAUACCCCGGUAGUCCAUGUCUCUUAUAA
rnacentral:rRNA from 1 species